rnacentral:miRNA from 8 species
AGUGAAUUACCAGUCUCAAAAA